CCGAAGUGCAAAUCCGGCCACGCAAACCGAAAGGAUGCCGAGGCUUCUCCCGUUU
rnacentral:tRNA from 1 species